rnacentral:lncRNA from 1 species
UGGGGCCUGCCCUGGAGGUUUGUCGGUGUACUUUGGAAACACCCUGUAUAGCUGUAGACCUUCCUCAAAGAAAAAUGGAUCUAAUAAUGAAUGAACCCGCACCACACUAUCACCUUUGGAUGAUGCAAAGCGAUUUUCAUAAUAGCGAGUGGAUUCUCUCUGGUUCUCUCUCGCCCAGAUGCAGCUCCGUGACCUCUACAGCACACCUGUCGGUGGCAAAUGCGACUAUUCUGGCAAUAAAAUUUUUUAUUAAAAAGAAUCCCGUGUCUUUCCAUGUAUUUCUAUGAAAAUCGCAUCGUGUUCCUAUCUAUAUUUUUCGAAUUAUUGAGUUUCACUUUUUCUGUUACUUAUGGAUCACCAUGUAUAUGGCCGUACCUGAUUUCUUAACACAGCAUUCUAUAUUUCAAUAUGUAUAAAUGACAUCAUAGUCCCGAUAUAACAUCAUUAUGACGUAAUAAUGGGUAAAAUAUGAUAUGAUAGAUAAUUUAUGAUGUUCUAGUGACCUACCGAUUCGUGACUUCAUGAUGGCAUCAUCAUCUCGAUGACGGGUAUUUGUGGCAUAUAUGCUUGUUAGAUUAGUAUUAAAAUUGGAUACAGAAGACGAAUGGAUUUAAAAUUAAUGACAUCUUCGGAAAUAGGCAAUUUUAGUUCUUUCUCAAACUUCUUGUUCUUAAUUUUAUUAUGGC